GUUGCUUUUUCCGCCCACAUCAGGGGACUUCAACAAGUAACCUCCAGUUCCAUAGAUAAAACUUGCAUUCCCCCCUUCUCCAUGGCAGGGGUUUUGAGCCUAGAGAAGGAAGAUCGGAGCUUCCUGGGGCUCCUGUGAAGCAGGCAGGGGGCAGCACUGGGCCCCGGGAAGAGGCGGAGAAGGCGAGGGAGUGCCUGCGGUGAGCCCAGAGCCUUGGGCCCGUUAUCCUCUGAUGCUGCUCCCCCAACUUUCCUGCCGUCAGUCCCUGACCUUGCCUGAGACCUUGGCGGCUCCCGCACCUCUCUCCCGGCUCCUCCUUGCUGAGAACACAACCCGCAAGGCCCUUCCGCCUGGCUGGACUGAGUCCCCUAUGGAGGCAGCCUGGCAGGGAGCAGGUGUCUUCCUGGCAGAAGAGGACAGACCUGGUAAACUGAGGGACUGUUGAUGCCCCGAUGUUCUGCCUAGCCUGCCUGGAAACUCCAGAAGGGGUCCUGUGUCAUUCCUUGUGACACUGAGUAGAGUGAGGGUCCUGUUGCCAUUGGACAGCUGCAGCCUGGGACUGACCGGGAGGCUCUGAUUGUUUAUCCACCACAGACCAGGAUCUCCCCUCUGGGCUGCAGAUGCCUAAGAAGAAAGGAACUGAACCAACUCUGGUAUUGGGGUCCACAGAUGCCAAAUAAGGCCCCUGGAGUAGAGGAGAGGUUAAGACUGUGGCUGAAGACAAAUCUCCUGUAACUGAUCUUCCAGUUACGGUCUGUGUGACCUUGAUAUAGUGACUGUAUUUAUUGCCAUGUGGCUCAGUUUCCCCUCAGUGAAAUAGUAUAAAUGGUUAAUGGUUUUGGCUUAUCUUGUGGUCUGUGAAUUAACCUUAAAAUAUUUAUAAUUGUUUGACCUCAGCUCUGCAUAGGGGAGCUGCCCAAAUAAACAAUCUUAUUUUAUUUUAUUUUAUUUUUUUGAGACGGAGUCUCGCUCUGUCACCCAGGCUAGGGUGCAGUGGUGUGAUCUUGGCUUACUGCAACCUCUGCCUCCCAGGUUCAAGCAAUUCUCCUGCCUCAGCCUCCUGAGUAGCUGGGAUUACAGGCACGCACCACCACGCCCGGCUAAUUUUUUUGUAUUUUUAGUAGAGUUGGCAUUUGACCAUGUUGGUCAGGCUGGUCUUGAACUCCUGACCUCAUAGUCCGUCCACCUUGGCCUCCCAAAGUACUGGGAUUACAGGCGUGAGCCACCGCUCCCGGCCGCAGCAUCUAUUAUUGUUGGAUUCCAUGACAGUGCCUCUCAGCCUGAUCCCUGGUGGACAGGGAGCUUUCAGGAGCAUCCUGUCUCCUCUGUUCCUCCUCCUGGGGAUGCUAAACUUCCUAUGGCAUCUCCUAAGCCCCCAGGGCAGUUGGCUGAUGGUCUGGGGAGCUUGUCCAUCUGUCCUCUCCAGGCUGAGACUAAGGUGAAGGAUGAGGCUCCGUCCUUGCCCAAAUGAGGCUCUAGUGCUUGAACCCUGGCUGGUUACCAGCUCCAGGAGCCACAGCCCUCGGAUAGCUCAAAUUCUUGUUCCUAGUCAGCCCUGCCCAGGAGGCCACAAUCUAGCCCUGGCCCAGGCUCCUCAGGGUCACCAGGAGUUGAGAACCUUGGGAUAGUGUUUUGGAGCAGGGGAUUCCCAGGGCUGAGCUUGUCUGUGAGGAUCCCAGAAGGCCCUUCAGGCCAGACCCUGACUGAGUCCUACUGGGUCUUUCUUAGGGACAUGUUCACCAGGAGGGUCCCGGGGGGCUAGAUUGAGACUGGUCUCCCCUCGAUAAGUUACCCACAUCAGAUUGUCCUUCCUCUGAAGCAAAUGUCUGCAGGAUCAGGACUCCAGAGUAAGACAUUCGGUAUUUUGAUGUCUGUCCCAUAGUGUGUCCUGCACUAAAUGCUCAAACCUUAACAUGGGGUAUAAUGCAGAGGAGGACACAGGCACAGCCCAGGCCUGACAAUCCCAUGUGUGGGAAGUAGAACUAACCCCCCAAUACCCAGAGGUCAUGGGGAAAUACUCACGGUAUACAUGGAACUGUCCAGUUGCUUCUUCAUUCACAAGAUCUGACUUUAUGACUUGUAGGGUAUAGAAUCCUGUGUCAUUCUGGGUGACGUUCUGGAUCAGCAGGGAUGCAUUGGGGUUUAUUGUCUCUCGACCACUGUAUGCGGGCCCUGGGGUAGCUUGUUGAGUUGCUAUUACAUAUCCUACAAUUUGACGGUUGCCAUCCACUCUUUCCCCUUUGUACCAGCUGUAGCCAAAAAGAGGCUGGGGCAGAUUGUGGACAAGUAGAAGAACCUCCUUCCCCUCUGCGACAUUGAAUGGCAUGGAUUCAAUAGUGAGCUGGGCAGUGGUGGGCGGGUUCCAGAAGGUUAGAAGUGAGGCUAGGAGAGAGGAGAGAGCAUCAGUCAAUAUUGGGACCUAUGCAUUAGGGUGGAAAAAUGGGGCCUUGGGUCCUGAGCAGGUGUCUUCACCCCUCCACCUUGGAGUGUGUGUGUGUGGGUGUGUGUGUGUGUGUGUGUCCUACUGGGUCAAGGUCAACAGUGUGACUCCCAUUCCCUUAGUGCCUCUGACCUUGUCAUUUCUGUGGAAUGCUCUUCCCCAGGGAUCCGCAUGGCUCCCUCCCCACUGCCCUCAGAUCUUGAUCACAUCAGGGUGCUCUUGGGAGAUCCUUUCCCUGACACCUCCCCUAGAGACCCUGGAUAUUCCCUUUCUGACCUUUUUCUGCUCUGUUCCCUCCAGGGCUCUUGUCAACACCUGACCUCACAUUCUAGAUCUCUUUGCUUGUCUGUCUUCCCCACCCAUGACAGCGUGAGCUCCGUGAGGGCAGGGAUUUGUGUGAUGUUGGUUGCACCCCAGUGCCUGGGAUAGGCUGCAGACUCCUGUGGAUGAGUUAGUGAGCAUUCCCAGGGCUCUUCAUGUCCUGGGGUUUAUUUGCCAAUAUCUGAGGUUGGUGGCUCAGGGCUCUGUUUAAUGCCCCUUUUAAAAUGUUUUCCUUAAUUGUCACGCUGACUUAAAUUGUGAUUAUUGUCACCAGUUUUUGAAAUUUAUUGCUCAUUGAUGAUUCAGUUGGAAAAGGUAAAAAAUGGGAGAUCGUUUAUUCACUAACAGUUUCAGAUCACUGAGACUUUCCUUUUAUGAUCUCUAUCCCUUUCAUGUCCUCUCUCCUAUUUGGCUCCAAGAGAAGCCCUCUGUCCCCUCUUAGAGCUCCAUCCUCCCCAGAGGACCCUAGCCAUUCUCUGUGCGCCCUUUUUCUGCCCCUUCCCAGGGAGUCCUCCCCUCACCUGUGAGCAGAAGCCCCUGCCAGGGUACACGCACUCUGUGAAGUGGGGCUGAGAGGUGCCCCAUGGUGUCUCCUGCUGGCCCUGUCUUCACCUGUGGAGGAGAGCUUGGGCUCCAGGAACGCUUCGAGCACGGCUGCUCUGUCAGCUCUGCUAUUUUCCACCCUCUGUGCUGAGCCUCCUCCCUGGGGCCCAGAGCUUUGUCUGAUCAUGUGUGUUGGGGCGGGGUUUGUCCAGGAAGCUCUGUUUCCUCUCCUCUCAUUCCUACCUUUGUCCUUAGUUUCUCUUUCCUUUCUGUCUACAUUUUGGUUUCCCAGACCACACUUUGAGAAUCAAGGCUGAUGAGACCUCUGUCCCCAUCAGGGGAGGAGGAUCCCCCCUCUCCAGCACUGACGUCUAUUGUGUCCUGGCCAUGGGUCUGUCAGCAGCACACAGAGAACCCUGGCAUAUCCAAAUGUGGUAAUUAUUUUCUUUGCAACACAGUGAGCUGCCAGGUCUCCCCAUGCUCUUCAGUGUGCUGGGAAGGUAGGAAGACACCCAGCAGGAAGGUGACAGAGGUGGCUCUGGGGGAUGGAAAGGGGCUCACUGGGGGAUGACUGGGGAGGGACCAGCCCUCUGUCUCUAGUGUCACCAGCCUGGCCUCUAACCCAGGGACAGAGACCCAAGUCCAGGGGUCUCAGGUGGAGCUGCAGCUCCCGGAUAUGGAGGGGGAGGUGUCCUGUGUGUCCUGGGAAGAGAGGACUGUGAUAGAGGGAGGUGGGUGGCUCUGGGCUCUACUGUCCUUGGGGAAGGCUUCAGGGGGACCCUCCCUCCCUUGACCUGAGGCUCAAGGCCUAUCCAUGUUCUCCCUGACCAUCCUGGGUGGUCUCUGUCCUCUGCGAGGCUGAUUGUCCUGUGGUCACCGCACCUUCCCCACAGGUGGUGCCAGGAGGGAAUGGGGAGCUGCACAGGGACCCCUCACAGAACAGGGUCCUCAGAGGACCCAGGAAGGGACAGAGCAGGUACAUGGGAGGGCCUGGAAGGGUGUUUUUGGAGCAAGGGAUGGAAAGUGGGCUCUACCUUCACCUCCUUAGCAAAGCCAGGUUCAUGACCAGGGGAAUGUUUCCUGAGUGUUGUCUGUGUGCAGUGUCUCCCCCUGGAGGGCAAGACAAGACCUGCAGCCUUGUCAAGGGCUGCCCCAGGGAUGCUGACCAGGGUCUACAUGAUGUGAGCUGGCCCUGACCCCUGGGCAGAUGUGGGCUCUGACCUCCAGGCUUCAAGGUCAAGUCACCCCAGGUCCUGUUCACUGCGGGUCCCCAGGCUGCCCAGCUCCAUGCGGUGCAGGAUGAGCCCAGGGAGAGGACGUGAGUUGUCCAGAGGACUUCUGUCAAGAUUGGAGAGAACUGUCCACCAGGGGGGUGGGCUGCCUUAAAAGGAGCCAUCUGUCCCAGAGGUUUG